rnacentral:rRNA from 1 species
UACGUAGGGUGCAAGCGUUGUCCGGAAUUACUGGGCGUAAAGCGUGUGUAGGCGGCGCGUUAAGUGCAACGCGAAAUCUUGUGGCUCAACCAUAUAGACUGUGUUGCAUACUGGCGUGCUUGAGGACUGGAGAGGAGACUGGAAUUUACGGUGUAGCGGUGAAAUGCGUAGAUAUCGUAAGGAAGACCAGUGGCGAAGGCGGGUCUCUGGACAGUUCCUGACGCUGAGGCACGAAGGCCAGGGGAGCAAACGGG